GUUCAGGAGAAUGAAGAUGAAGUGGAGAAUUACAAACAAGGCAUCAGAAGAAGAUCUCGAAAACAGGCACAAAGCCUUCAUACUGGAAGCGAAGAAUGGAAGAGAACAGUGGCGAUUGCCGACAGGAGUUCUCUCUGGAACGAUGCCAUUGUACCGUACGAAAUCUCUCCAAAGAUCAGUGAAAGUCUAAGAAGAACAAUACGCACGGCUAUAAGAAAAUGGGAAUCGGACACGUGUUUGAGAUUUGUUCCUGCCGAUGAAACGAUCCACGAAUACAGCGUGUAUUUUGAAAAUGAAGGAGUUUGUGG